GUUUCGUUGUUUAUAAUACAACAUCUUCAGAGCAAUCUAAAAUCUUCAUCUUCAAUUGCUCUGAAGAUGUUGUAUUGUAAACAACGAAACG